AGCUGAUGAUGAUUUACAUUUUAAACUUCUGACACCUCAUCUGAGAGUUGCUUAUGCAGCUUUGGCUGAUAUUCUGUAUCUGAGGCUC